rnacentral:lncRNA from 1 species
GGCGAGGCUUGGUUGUCACAGUGACCGUCUUUUCCUUCAUUGCCGCAUGGCGGUGGUCUCAGCGAUGGCAAUGAAACUGCCAUGGUAAGCAGGGCCAUUCCCUGCACGACAUAAGGUUGGAUGAAUGAAUACAACACAAGUACAUACUCAAAUUCCCUCCAUCCCUGUAUUUCUCUCUAAAUUUAUUCUACACUACGACUUUGAUUGAAGAAUGACUAUUCUUUUAUUCUCAUUCUAGGGAAAUGAGUUUGAACGCCAUGUAAUUCAUUUACAGAAGUUGAAAUCUUACAGUGAGGUAAAUUGCAGAAGCCGAUACAAAGGUCCAGUAUCGGCCGAGAUAAGCAUCAGC